rnacentral:rRNA from 1 species
UACGUAGGGACCAAGCGGUUGUUCGGAUUUACUGGGCGUAAAGGGCGCGUAGGCGGUCAGCACAAGUCAGUUGUGAAAUCUACCGGGCGUUAACUCCGGAAAGGUAACUGAUACUGUGCGACUAGAGUGCAGAAGGGGCAACUGGAAUUCUCGGUGUAGCGGUGAAAAUGCGUAGAUAUCUGGAGGAACACCGGUGGCGAAGGCGGCAUUCUGGACCGAUAUUGA